GGGUUGUGAGGUUAAGCGACUAAGCGUACACGGUGGAUGCCCUGGCAGUCAGAGGCGAUGAAGGACGUGCUAAUCUGCGAUAAGCGUCGGUAAGGUGAUAUGAACCGUUAUAACCGGCGAUUUCCGAAUGGGGAAACCCAGUGUGUUUCGUCACACUAUCAUUAACUGA
rnacentral:rRNA from 1 species